rnacentral:rRNA from 1 species
UACGUAGGGGGCAAGCGUUGUCCGGAAUCAUUGGGCGUAAAGAGCGUGUAGGCGGCCCGGUAAGUCCGCUGUGAAAGUCCAGGGCUCAACCCUGGGAUGCCGGUGGAUACUGUCGGGCUCGAGUCCGGAAGAGGGGUGUGGAAUUCCUGGUGUAGCGGUGAAAUGCGCAGAUAUCAGGAGGAACACCAAUGGCGAAGGCAGCACUCUGGGACGUGACUGACGCUGAGACGCGAAAGCCAGGGGAGCAAACGGG